rnacentral:rRNA from 1 species
AGGGUUUGAUCCUGGCUCAGGAUGAACGCUAGCGGCAGGCCUAAUACAUGCAAGUCGAGGGGCAGCACUUACUUCGGUAAGUGGCGACCGGCGCACGGGUGAGUAACACGUAUGCAACCUACCUUUAACUGGGGCAUAGCUCGAGGAAACUCGAAUUAAUUCCCCAUAAUAUAAUACAUUAUCUCAUGAUAUAAUUAUUAAAGAUUUAUCGGUUAAAGAUGGGCAUGCGUCUGAUUAGUUUGUUGGUGAGGUAACGGCUCACCAAGACUUCGAUCAGUAGGGGGUCUGAGAGGAUGAUCCCCCACACUGGUACUGAGAUACGGACCAGACUUCUACGGAAGGCAGCAGUAAGGAAUAUUGGGCAAUGGGCGAAAGCCUGACCCAGCCAUGCCGCGUGCAGGAUGACGAUCUUACGGAUUGUAAACUGCUUUUAUAUAGGAAGAAAAUACUCUUGCGAGAGUAA